GUGCUCACUUCGGCAACACAUAUUCUAGAAUUGGAAUGAUACAGAGAAGAUUAGCAUGGCACCUGCACAAGGAUGACACACAAAUUUGUGACGCAUUCUAUAUUUUC